CCUGCCGGACGGGCAGUCGCUCGCCGGGUGGGGACCCGCCGCGGCGAGAGGAAAGUCCGGUCUCCAUAGGGCAGCAUGCCGGCUAACGGCCGGGGGGACUCGCUCAAAGCGGGUUUCACGGAAAGUGCCACAGAAAACAAUACCGCCUGCCGGGCUUCCGGCGGGUAAGGGUGAAAUGGUGCGGUAAGAGCGCACCGCGGCCGCAGCAAUGCGGCCGGCAGGGCAAACCCCAUGCGGAGCAAGACCAAAUAGGGGAGGAGGAGCGGCCCGCUCCGUUACCACUUCCGGGUAGGUCGCUGGAGCUGGGGUGAGAUCCUCAGCCAAGAGGAAUGACUGCCGCUCGCCGCAAAACGGCGAGGCACAGAAACCGGCUUAUAGUCCGGCAGGCCCG
rnacentral:RNase_P_RNA from 1 species